rnacentral:rRNA from 1 species
UACGUAGGGACCAAGCGUUGUUCGGAUUUACUGGGCGUAAAGGGCGCGUAGGCGGCAAUUCAAGUCAGUUGUGAAAUCUCCGAGCUUAACUCGGAACGGUCAACUGAUACUGUCUUGCUAGAGUACAGAAGGGGCAAUCGGAAUUCUUGGUGUAGCGGUGAAAUGCGUAGAUAUCAAGAGGAACACCUGAGGUGAAGACGGGUUGCUGGGCUGAUACUGACGCUGAGGCGCGAAAGCUAGGGUAGCAAACGGG